rnacentral:siRNA from 1 species
UCGGAGAGAUCUAUUCGUCGGCAC